UUUACAAGGUUACAUCAUUCCCCUACAACAAAUAAAAAUUAGUUCCCCAUAGACAUGGGGGAACUCUAUGAACAAUGGAAGAAAGAAAGAGAAUGGAAGAAUAAGAAUUGACUAAGAGUGUAUUGCUAUGGUCUUCUCUGCUAGGGAUGCAAAACCUAGAGCCCUAAGGUCCUUUAAAUAUGCCAGAAGUGUCCCAAAGUGCGGCCCGGUCCAAAAGAAUCAAAACAAAGCAUAAAUAGGGCCCGAUCCACUAAAAUUGUUGCUUAGGCAUCUAAGGAGGACGCCCAGGUGAGAAUUGGACCUCAUGUAAGGCC
rnacentral:lncRNA from 1 species